rnacentral:rRNA from 2 species
AAACAUGUUUUUUUGAAAAUAAUUUAAAGUUUAAUCUGCCCACUGAUNAAAUUAUUAAAGGGCUGCAGUAUUUUGACUGUACAAAGGUAGCAUAAUCAUUAGUCUCUUAAUUGGUGACUUGUAUGAAAGAUUGGAUGAAAUAUAUACUGUCUCUAUUUAAUCUAUAAAAUUUAAUUUUUUAGUUAAAAAGCUAAAAUAAAUUUAAAAGACGAGAAGACCCUAUAGAGUUUGAUAAUUUAUUUAAUUAUUAUUAAUAUAUAAAUUUAAAAAUUAAAGUUAAAUAAAUUAUUUUAUUGGGGUGAUAGAAAAAUUAAAUUAACUUUUUUUUUAUUUUAUACAUUAAUUUAUGAAUGAAUGAUCCAUUAAUAAUGAUUAAAAGAAAAAAUUACCUUAGGGAUAACAGCGUAAUUUUUUUUUUUAGUUCAAAUAGGAAAAAAAGUUUGCGACCUCGAUGUUGGAUUAAGAUAAAAUUUAAAUGAAAAAGUUUAAAAUUUUAAUCUGUUCGAUCAUUAAAAUCUUA